UACGAAGGGGGCUAGCGUUGUUCGGAAUUACUGGGCGUAAAGCGCGCGCAGGCGGUUUUUCAAGUCAGUGGCGAAAGCCCGGAGCUCAACUCCGGAAAUGCCAUUGAAACUGUAAAACUUGAGGACGAGAGAGGUGAGUGGAAUUCCCAGUGUAGAGGUGAAAUUCGUAGAUAUUGGGAAGAACACCGGUGGCGAAGGCGGCUCACUGGCUCGUUUCUGACGCUCAGGCGCGAUAGCGUGGGGAUCAAACAGG
rnacentral:rRNA from 1 species